rnacentral:misc_RNA from 1 species
UUAAGUUCAGCGGGUAUCCCUACCUGAUCCGAGGUCAACCUUUGAUUGUUUGGGGGGGUUUUUAAACCGGCUGGCCAAUCUCGCACUGCACAGGUGAAAAGUGCCGUGGCAGCUUUUACAACACCUCGAUGCAUGGGCGCACACAACCGCCUAUACAAUUUUGGGGGGGAGGCGGAACACAGCCUUUUUUUACAGGCUAA